GAUGAACGCUGGCGGCGUGCCUAAUACAUGCAAGUCGAGCGAACAGACGAGGAGCUUGCUCCUCUCACGUUAGCGGCGGGCGGGUGAGUAACACGUGGAUAACCUACCUAUCAGAGUGGGAUAACUUCGGGACACCGGAGAUAAUACCGGAUAAUAUAUUGAACCGCAUGGUUCAAUAGUGAAAGACGGUUUUGCUGUCACUUAUAGAUGGAUACGCGCCGCAUUAGCUAGUUGGUAAGGUAACGGCUUACCAAGGCAACGAUGCGUAUGCGACCGGAGAGGGUGAUCGGCCACACGGGAAGUGAGACACGGUCCAGACUCCUACGGGAGGCAGCAGUAGGGAAUCUUCCGCAAUGGGCGAAAGCCUGACGGAGCAACGCCGCGUGAGUGAUGAAGGUCUUCGGAUCGUAAAACUCUGUUAUUAGGGAAGAACAAAUGUGUAAGUAACUAUGCACGUCUUGACGGUACCUAAUCAGAAAGCCACGGCUAACUACGUG
rnacentral:rRNA from 1 species